UCAGACGAUGCGUCAUGCAUAUCAAUAAGCGGAGGAAAAGAAACUAACAAGGAUUCCCCUAGUAACGGCGAGUGAAGCGGGAAGAGCUCAAAUUUGAAAUCUUAAAGGGUUUCCCUUUACGAAUUGUAGUUUAAAGAAGUGUUUUCUGUUGAGGUUUUGGUAAAAGUUCUUUGGAAUAGGACAUCAUAGAGGGUGAGAAUCCCGUAUUUGACCUUUACUUUCAACUUUGUGAUACACUUUCAAAGAGUCGGAUUGUUUGGGAAUGCAGUCCAAAAUGGGUGGUAAAUUUCAUCUAAAGCUAAAUAUUGGCGAGAGACCGAUAGCGAACAAGUACCGUGAGGGAAAGAUGAAAAGAACUUUGAAAAGAGAGUUAAGCAGUACGUGAAAUUGUCAAAAGGGAAGCGUUUGACACCAGUGUUGUUUUUCUGAAAAUCAAUUAAAGAACUGUUUAUGCUAAGUUGUUUAGACUUUAUCAGCUAUCUGUUUAGUUUUGAGCUUUUCUUUAAUGCACUUUUCAGUUAACAAGUCAACAUCAAUUUCUUUUGCUGUAAAGAAGCUUGAGGAAGGUGGCUUGAGAUUCGUCUUAAGUGUUUAUAGCCUCUUGCCUAUGCAGUCGGAGAGAUUGAGGUCUGCAGCGUAGAUCCUUCGGGGCUAAAUGCAUUUGUGCUAAGUUAUAGCAUUUUAUAGACAACUUGUUGACUAUGAUUUGUCUUGUAGCUUACUCGCUUAUGUUAUUUUACCUACGCUUAGGAUGUUGAGCGCAUGUCUCUCUCU
rnacentral:rRNA from 1 species